rnacentral:rRNA from 1 species
CCUACGGGUGGCAGCAGUGGGGAAUAUUGGACAAUGGGCGAAAGCCUGAUCCAGCCAUGCCGCGUGUGUGAAGAAGGCCUUCGGGUUGUAAAGCACUUUCAGUGGGGAAGAAAGCCUUGGGGCUAAUACCCUCGAGGAAGGACAUCACCCACAGAAGAAGCACCGGCUAACUCCGUGCCAGCAGCCGCGGUAAUACGGAGGGUGCGAGCGUUAAUCGGAAUUACUGGCGUAAAGCGCGCGUAGGCGGUCUGAUAAGCCGGUUGUGAAAGCCCCGGGCUCAACCUGGGAACGGCAUCCGGAACUGUCAGGCUAGAGUGCAGGAGAGGAAGGUAGAAUUCCCGGUGUAGCGGUGAAAUGCGUAGAGAUCGGGAGGAAUACCAGUGGCGAAGGCGGCCUUCUGGACUGACACUGACGCUGAGGUGCGAAAGCGUGGGUAGCAAACAGGAUUAGAUACCCGGGUAGUC